ACAGGUAGUGUCCCUCAGGGCUGUAGAACAGGGCUGGGAUUACUAAAGCCCUGUUCGAUGCCCUGAGGUACACUGAGCAUGUCA
ensembl:miRNA